rnacentral:rRNA from 1 species
AGCAGCAGUUAUAUCACCCUUCAACUCAUAACUGACAACCCACUGAAGCUAAGCAGGUGUGAGCCUGGUCAGUCCCUGGAUGGGAGACCUCCUGGGGAAAACGAAGGUUGCUGCUGGAA